rnacentral:rRNA from 1 species
AAACUUUCAACAACGGAUCUCUUGGUUCUGGCAUCGAUGAAGAACGCAGCGAAAUGCGAUAAGUAAUGUGAAUUGCAGAAUUCAGCGAAUCAUCGAAUCUUUGAACGCACAUUGCGCCCAUUAGUAUUCUAGUGGGCAUGCCUGUUCGAGCGUCAUUU